rnacentral:misc_RNA from 1 species
AGCUGGGGCCCAGAGCACAGA